rnacentral:tRNA from 6 species
GGACUAUUAGCUCAGUAGGUCAGAGCCGUCAGCUCAUAACUGACAGGUUUGGGUUCGAUUCCCAAGUAGUCCA